CUGGUUCAAGUCCCCUCUAUCCCCA
rnacentral:tRNA from 3 species